UACGUAGGGGGCGAGCGUUAAUCGGAAUUACUGGGCGUAAAGCGUGCGCAGGCGGCUUUGCAAGACAGAUGUGAAAUCCCCGGGCUUAACCUGGGAACUGCAUUUGUGACUGCAUGGCUGGAGUGCGGCAGAGGGGGAUGGAAUUCCGCGUGUAGCAGUGAAAUGCGUAGAUAUGCGGAGGAACACCGAUGGCGAAGGCAAUCCCCUGGGCCUGCACUGACGCUCAUGCACGAAAGCGUGGGGAGCAAACAGG
rnacentral:rRNA from 1 species